rnacentral:lncRNA from 1 species
CUUCCCUGAUAUUUGGCGCACCAGUGAGGGGCAGAAAACUAAGCAGAGAAAACAAGGAAACUGCAAGGAAGUGAUAGUUUCCUAGCAACCAUGAAACUGUUAUGGCUGGCUGUGGGCUGGCAGACUGUGGCCCAGAACCUGGAAGAAGGUGGAGCCCACAGGAAUAGCCCACUGGACUGUGAGCUGAGUGGAUGGAGCCUGCCCGUCAUCACCUCGAGCUACCCUGAGGAGCCCCUGCUGCUGUGAGGAAAGAGUGCCUUCCUAAAACCGGUGCAGUAUGCUUGGGACUGGCAAUCCCCAGAAGAUAGAGUUUAUAGAAAUAGCCAAAAGACCAGACUGCAAUGAAGACAAAGCAAGCCGCCCAGGUGAUCCAGCCCCACAGACAACCUCAGCUGCUGUUUCCUCAAAGGUUGCAUCCAGGACGACUUCAAAGUGACUUUCAUCAAACUGCCCAGCCUCACAGACUACUUCAUCCAGGACUUCAGUUAAGCCAUGCACUUUCCUAUCCCACAGAGACUGGACAACAAGGGAAACAGCCAGGUCUCCCAGUACUUGAACAGUAUCCCAAUUUUCAUAGGGUCCCCAAAAGACUGCUUAGCUCCCAGAGAGCAGGAAGCAAUUUAAAGAACAAGAUGCUCUCAUUCCUAAGAGGUGGAUCUGAAAGUCCUGCUAUGCUUCAGUGUGGGAAAGCAAGCUAUGACUUUUUGCUUGACAUGUCUGGCUAUUGUAACCAAAGGCAGCAGAGUCCCAUCUCAACAGGAUCUCUCCCUGAUCUGGAACUCACAGACUUGGCUAGACUGGCCAGCAUGUCCCAGAACUCUGCGCAUCCCAGCCAGGCACACCCAGCGUGGAUGGCACACCCAGCGUGAGUGGAUGUCGGGAUCUAGACCCAGUGCCUCAGGCUUCAGGGCAGGCAGUUUAACCUGCUGGGCCAUCGCUAACACCCAGGAAUGUCUUAUAUACUGAAACUUUCACAUAUACUGAGAGCUUGAUUUCUUUAAAAAUGUGUUAGUUUAAGCUUCUUCUAUAGCCACAUGGUGAACGUGCUUUGCAAAUUGCAACAAAAUCAGAAAAGUGUGCCCAGUAGAAUUCUCUCUUCCUUCACAUCAUUUCGUCAGAAACAGAAGAAAAAAAAAUGUAAAUUGCCUAAAUGGGAGGAGAGAAGCUGUUGUUUGUUUUCACGAAGUUAAUCCAGUCUGUAAAGCAGUAAGGCAAAGCCAUACUCUUAGCCAGAGUUGCAUAAUCUUCAAAGAAGAGUCCCUGGAGAGUCAUAAGCAGAAUUGUUGAUUCAACACCCACACGUGCUAUGCAAGACUCUUGGCCUGUGCCCAGCCUGCUUGGGACAAGGUAUUCACAAGCUCCUGCACACUGCCAAGGAGAGGGGACGCCAGAUAAAACAAGAGAACCUCUGGAGUUUCCCCUUCCCAUUUUGUUGUUGUGAAUGUAGACUUCAAAGCCAGACACUGUAACCCUCAUCUUACAGUCAAGAGUGACAAGCAUGGGGGUGGGAAGAAAAUGCAGUACCCAGCAGUCUGCUCAUAGAACAUAAAAACAUUCUGUCUGUGUGCUGAUUCACCAGAUCUCGAGCCAGCUCCCUCCAGUCACUGCUUAAGGAAGGCAAUGUAAGCUGUGAAGCUGUCCUCUUUUCUCUUACUUGCCUUUAAGCACUUCCUAAAGGGUGUCUUUUCUGCUCUCCACAGUAGGUCGGACAGUGGCUUUGUCUUUAAAUGGGUUAUUCCCAAGCACUUAGCUUAGAAUGUGG